CCUACGGGAGGCAGCAGUAGGGAAUUUUCCACAAUGGGCGCAAGCCUGAUGGAGCAACGCCGCGUGCAGGAUGAAGGCUUUCGGGUCGUAAACUGCUUUUAUUUGUGACGCAGUAGCAAAUGAAUAAGGGUCGGCUAACUACGUGCCAGCAGCCGCGGUCAUACGUAGGACCCGAGCGUUAUCCGGAAUUACUGGGCGUAAAGAGUGCGUAGGUGGUUUGUUAAGUGAAUAGUGAAAUCGUGCGGCUCAACCGUAUAUCCAUUAUUUAAACUGGCAGACUUGAGUAUGGUAGAGGUCACUGGAAUUCCAAGUGUAGGAGUGAAAUCCGUAGAUAUUUGGAGGAACACCGAUGGCGUAGGCAGGUGACUGACAUAACUGACACUGAGGCACGAAAGCGUGGGGAGCAAACGGGAUUAGAUACCCUUGUAGUC
rnacentral:rRNA from 1 species